rnacentral:rRNA from 1 species
GACGAACGCUGGCGGCGUGCUUAACACAUGCAAGUCGAACGGAAAGGCCCUGCUUUUGUGGGGUGCUCGAGUGGCGAACGGGUGAGUAACACGUGAGUAACCUGCCCUUGACUUUGGGAUAACUUCAGGAAACUGGGGCUAAUACCGGAUAGGAGCCCCUGCUGCAUGGUGGGGGUUGGAAAGUUUCGGCGGUCGGGGAUGGAUGGGCGGCUUAUCGGCUUGCUGGUGGGGUAGUGGCUUACCAAGGCAUUGACGGGUAGCCGGCCUGAGAGGGUGGACGGCGACCAGGGGACUAAGGGACGGACCAGACUCCUACGGGAGGCAGCAGUCGGGAAUAUUGCACAGUGGGCGGGAGCCUGAUGCGACAGCGCCGCGUGCGGGAUGACGGCCUUCGGGUUGAGAACCGCUUUCGCCUGUGACGAAGCGGGAGUGACGGUAAUGGGUAAAGAAGCACCGGCUAACUACGUG